rnacentral:rRNA from 1 species
GAUAUGGCUCAGGAUGAACGCUAGCUACAGGCUUAACACAUGCAAGUCGGAGGGGGCGAGCAUGGUCUUAGCUUGCUAAGGCCGAUGGCGACCGGCGCACGGGUGAGUAACACGUAUCCAACCUGCCGUCUACUCUUGGACAGCCUUCUGAAAGGAAGAUUAAUACAAGAUGGCAUCAUGAGUUCACAUGUUCACAUGAUUAAAGGUAUUCCGGUAGACGAUGGGG